CAGUCGCCGCGGGAAUACGGAGGGGGCCAGCGUUGUUCGGAAUUACUGGGCGUAAAGCGCACGUAGGCGGCUUGGUAAGUUAGAGGUGAAAGCCCGGAGCUCAACCCCGGAAUUGCCUUUAAGACUGCCGAGCUAGUAGGUGAGAGAGGUAAGUGGAAUUCCGAGUGUAGAGGUGAAAUUCGUAGAUAUUCGGAAGAACACCAGUGGCGAAGGCGGCUAACUGGUCCAUAACUGACGCUGAGGUGCGAAGGCGUGGGGAGCAAACGGGAUUAGAUACCCCGGUAGUCCCUGUCUCUUAUAC
rnacentral:rRNA from 1 species